CAGCCGUAAACUAUGCGCGUUAGGUGUAUCGGUGACCACGAGUUACCGAGGUGCCGAAGGGAAACCGUGAAACGUGCCGCCUGGGAAGUACGGUCGCAAGGCUGAAACUUAAAGGAAUUGGCGGGGGAGCACCACAACAGGUGGAGCCUGCGGUUUAAUUGGACUCAACGCCGGGAAGCUCACCGGAUAGGACAGCAGAAUGAUUGCCGGGCUGAAGACCCUGCAUGACUAGCUGAGAGGUGGUGCAUGGC
rnacentral:rRNA from 1 species